rnacentral:rRNA from 1 species
CCUACGGGUGGCAGCAGUGGGGGAUAUUGCACAAUGGGGGGAACCCUGAUGCAGCGACGCCGCGUGGGUGAAGAAGCGCCUCGGCGCGUAAAGCCCUGUCAGCAGGGAAGAAAAUGACGGUACCUGAAGAAGAAGCCCCGGCUAACUACGUGCCAGCAGCCGCGGUAAUACGUAGGGGGCAAGCGUUAUCCGGAUUUACUGGGUGUAAAGGGGGCGCAGACGGCGAUGCAAGCCAGGAGUGAAAGCCCGGGGCGCAACCCCGGGACUGCUCUUGGAACUGCGUGGCGGGAGAGCAGGAGGGGCAGGCGGAAUUCAGGGUGUAGCGGUGAAAGGCGUAGAGAUCAGAAAGAACACCGGUGGAGAGGGCGGCCUACUGAGCUACAGCUGACGUUGAGGCCCGAAAGCGGGGGGAGCAAACAGGAUUAGAUACCCGAGUAGUC